AUCCUUGAGGUAUACCUGUUCGAGCGCCGUUUGUGUCUUAAGGCCUUGCCUUGCGUUGAAGGUUUCCCCGGUAGGACCUUCGAAACACAUCGCGCCCGUUAUGGCAUCGAAACGCAGAGAAAUGCGGCGAGAAGUCAUGAUGGGCGGCCAAUCUCCGAAAGCAUGGCCUCGGAUCAGGUAGGGAUACCCGCUGAACUUAA
rnacentral:misc_RNA from 1 species